rnacentral:misc_RNA from 1 species
GAUGAAGAACGCAGCGAAAUGCGAUAAGUAAUGUGAAUUGCAGAAUUCAGUGAAUCAUCGAAUCUUUGAACGCACAUUGCGCCCGCUAGUAUUCUGGCGGGCAUGCCUGUCCGAGCGUCAUUUCAACCCUCAAGCCCCCGGGCUUGGUGUUGGGGAUCGGCGAGCCUCCGCGCCCGCCGUCCCCUAAAUCUAGUGGCGGUCUCGCUGUAGCUUCCUCUGCGUAGUAGCACACCUCGCACUGGGAAACAGCGCGGCCACGCCGUUAAACCCCCAACUUCUGAACGUUUGACCUCGGAUCAUGUAGGAAUACCCGCUGAACUUAAGCAUAUCAAUAAGCGGAGGA